UACAGAGGGUGCAAACGUUGUUCGGAAUCACUGGGCAUAAAGCGUAUGUCGGCGGCUCCGUAAGUGUCGGGUGAAAUCCCACGGCCUACCCGUGGAACUGUUCGGCAUACUGCGGAGCUAGAGGAUGGUAGAGGAGAGCGGAACUCUUGGUGGAGCGGUGAAAUGCGUAGAUAUCAAGAGGAACACCGGUGGCGAAGGCGGCUCUCUGGUCCAUUACUGACGCUGAGGUACGAAAGCUAGGGGAGCAAACGGG
rnacentral:rRNA from 1 species